CAAUCCUCACCAUCAUGGCUUCGUUGAAAUUGUCAUCGCCGACGCCCAGCGUAGAUAAGGUAAUACCUUUCUCAC
rnacentral:tRNA from 1 species